GAAGGGGAGGGAGAGGGGACAGGCUCACCCUGAAGGGGAGGGAGGGGGCACAGGCUCACCCUGAAGGGGAGGGAGAAGGGACAGGCUCACCCUGACGGGGAGAUACACGCAGGGCCCAGACCUGAGGGCAGCAGGUGAGGGGCCGGGAAGGGAGCUAGCGACAGGAGAAGGCGAAGACCUGCGUCCUGUUUCUGCAGUGGGUUGAUCAGUGCCCCGCCCCCCGGGAACUGGAGCUGUCUGUCACUAGCCUGCACGUCUCAGACCCUGAAAGCUCCAUUCCCAGUCCUUAGUGAUCCUCUCCUGGUGAUGCCAGGUCCGUUACCGGGCACCUUCCUGGGGUGACAGUACGCUGCUCCAGCCCCUCCAGGGUUUCAGACACAGUCAGAAGUCAAGAAGCAGCGAAAUUCUGCAGCAGUAGGGGGAGAAUUGUUUUUUUCUAAGGGAAAUGAAUAUAGUUUUCAGGACGUAGACAAGGGUCUUUGGCUGGCGUUGGUAACUCGCGUGGUUCGUUCCCCGGCCCUCUCCCUUGUCUGUGUACUUUCCUUCAGGAAGCAGCGUUGCCAAGCCCUGUGCUGGGGAGCUGAUCCCGACCCUGAAGGAGCCCAGACCACGGAGAGAGAGAAGUAGCCACGAACGGAACUGAAGACAGUUCAUAACGCUGUGAUAGAGGACGACGGACACCUUGCUGUGGGGCCACUUAAAAUGUAUUCUUUAAAAACAUCAGUCAACAUUUCACUUUGCUCAAAACCCUGUAAAGGAUUUCCGUUUCACUCAGUGAGAGCCAAAGUUCUUCCAAUGGAAAAGUCCCUACACGGUCUGGCUUCCUCCUCCUCCUGUUAUGGAACCGAAGUGAGUUCUCUCCUGGUGAGUUAAAUCACACUCUCCACCAGGGGCAGCUGUCUCACAGAGUAAAGUAAAGUAUAUAUGCGGCAAAUAGGAGGCCACGCGGAAUCAUUUCCAGAGUCAUGGCGUCCCCGAACAAAGGAAAGCAGGGACAUUUAUUUUGGACAGGGAAUGAAUAUUCAAAAGGGAGAAGUGGGUAUUGGCUUGCGCAGACUCAGCUGGAAAACAUGCUUCCACACACACUGCAGGUGAUGGCAAUAAGGCCUAAGUUCCUCCUAGAGAGAUCUUAGCGUUAAAAGUAAGGCAGAGGUCAUAGGUGUAGCUCUUUGGUUAGGCUUGGUCUGGUUCAGGGAGGUUGGUGAUUGCAUCUCCUUAACAUAACAAAAGGAAAAAGAACAAUCUGGAACAACAGUUAAAAUAUCCAAACCCACCCUUGAGUUUCCUGGGGUAGCUAGUUGGUGACACUGCCCGCCUUCUGAUAACAUCUAGUCUCUUCCUCCUCCAUGGUGCUUCAGCCUCACUGGCCUCCUUGUUGUCCUCCACCAGGAGAAGUACCCUCCUGCCUUGGGACUUUGCACAUGCUGUUCCUUUUGCAUAAAACACCUUCAACACUCUCCCAGCAGAUACUUACAUGGUUUGCUUCCUUACUUCCUUCAACUCUCUGCUCAAGUGAGCUCUCAUUUCCCUUAUCAAUCUCUAAAAUUGUAACACAUCCCCCAAAUUCCUGAUCCUCUGGAAUUUUUAUCCAUAGCAGUUAACACCUUCUAUAUCAUAGUUUACUUACCUGUUUUGCUUAUUGUUAUUUAUCUAUUUCGUUUACUGCCAGAAUGUGUUCCAGCAGCUAGAAAGGGACCUACUAUGUGGUAAUUGCUCAAUAAACAUUAGUUGAAUUAA